rnacentral:rRNA from 1 species
GAUACCCUACUAUGCUUAACCUUAAACAUCGCUAAAACCAUCUACCAUUUUAUCCGCCCGAGCACUACAAGCGCUAGCUUCAAACCCAAAGGACUUGGCGGUGCCUCAGACCCACCUAGAGGAGCCUGUUCUAUAACCGAUAAUCCCCGUUAAACCUCACCACUUCUUGCCAUCAACCGCCUAUAUACCGCCGUCGUCAGCUCACCCCAUGAGGGAACAAAAGUAAGCAAAAUGAACUAACCUUCAAUACGUCAGGUCGAGGUGUAGCGAAUGAAGUGGAAAGAAAUGGGCUACAUUUUCUCCUAAGAAAAAACGAACAGUAUGAUGAAAAACUACUUAAAGGUGGAUUUAGCAGUAAGAAAAUCUUAGAACACUAUUCUGAAACUGGCUCUGAGGUGCGCACACACCGCCCGUCACUCUCCUCACCAUAAUAAUAUUCCCCUUACAUAAACAAACUUAUUCCUAAAGAGGAGGCAAGUCG